CGAAACCCGGUGAUCUAGCCAUGGGCAGGUUGAAGGUUGGGUAACACUAACUGGAGGACCGAACCGACUAAUGUUGAAAAAUUAGCGGAUGACCUGUGGCUGGGGGUGAAAGGCCAAUCAAACCGGGAGAUAGCUGGUUCUCCCCGAAAGCUAUUUAGGUAGCGCCUCGUGAAUUCAUCUCCGGGGGUAGAGCACUGUUUCGGCUAGGGGGCCAUCCCGGCUUACCAACCCGAUGCAAACUGCGAAUACCGGAGAAUGUUAUCACGGGAGACACACGGCGGGUGCUAACGUCCGUCGUGAAGAGGGAAACAACCCAGACCGCCAGCUAAGGUCCCAAAGUCAUGGUUAAGUGGGAAACGAUGUGGGAAGGCCCAGACAGCCAGGAUGUUGGCUUAGAAGCAGCCAUCAUUUAAAGAAAGCGUAAUAGCUCACUGGUCGAGUCGGCCUGCGCGGAAGAUGUAACGGGGCUAAACCAUGCACCGAAGCUGCGGCAGCGACACUGUGUGUUGUUGGGUA
rnacentral:rRNA from 1 species